rnacentral:rRNA from 1 species
AUGAACGCUGGCGGCGUGCCUAAUACAUGCCAGUCGAGCGAACAGACGAGGAGCUUGCUCCUCUGACGUUAGCGGCGGACGGGUGAGUAACACGUGGAUAAUCUACCUAUAAGACUGGGAUAACUUCGGGAAACCGAAGCUAAUACCGGAUAAUAUAUUGAACCGCAUGGUUCAAUAGUGAAAGACGGUUUUGCUGUCACUUAUAGAUGGAUCCGCGCCGCAUUAGCUAGUUGGUAAGGUAACGGCUUACCAAGGCAACGAUGCGUAGCCGACCUGAGAGGGUGAUCGGCCACACUGGAACUGAGACACGGUCCAGACUCCUACGGGAGGCAGCAGUAGGGAAUCUUCCGCAAUGGGCGAAAGCUUGACGGAGCAACGCCGCGUGAGUGAUGAAGGUCUUCGGAUCGUAAAACUCUGUUAUUAGGGAAGAACAAAUGUGUAAGUAACUAUGCACGUCUUGACGGUACCUAAUCAGAAAGCCACGGCUAACUACGUG